rnacentral:pre_miRNA from 1 species
UCGGGGUAAAAUAGUGAGUAGCCGACAUGGGGAAGUGAUCAACCCUUGAGAUAAGUUUAAAUCUGCUUUUUUUUUUACUCCAUAAACUUUUUACCGUGGGUAAAAAGAUACACGGUAAAAAGAUUUGUCUUGGGGUAUAAAAAAACCAGAUUUAAAUUUAGUUCAAGGGUUGAUGAUGUAUUUUCCCCAUGAAGGCUGCUCACUAUUUUACCUCAA